rnacentral:SRP_RNA from 1 species
GCCGGGCAUGGUGGUGUGUGCCUGUAGUCCCAGCUACCUGGGGGGCUGAGGCAAGAGGAUUGCUUGAGCCUGGGAGGUUGAGGUUGCAGUGAGCUGUGUUCACACCACUGGACUCCAGCCUAGGUGACAAAGCAAGACCCCGUCUCAA